UAGGGAAUAUUAGAAAUGGACGAAAGUCUGAUCUAGCAACACCGCGUGUGCGAAGAAGGCCUUCGGGUCGUAAAGCACUUUUUGGAAGGAAUAGGAAGGAAUGUACUUCCAGAAUAAGUCUCGGCUAACUACGUGCCAGCAGCCGCGGUAACACGUAGGAGGCGAACGUUAUCCGGAUUUACUGGGCGUAUAGCGCGUGUAGGUGGUUCUGUAAGUAGGGCGUGAAAGCUCCUGGCUCAACUGGGAGAGGCCGUUCUAAACUACAGAACUAGAGGAUGGUAGAGGGAGGUGGAAUUCCAGGUGUAGCGGUGGAAUGCGCAGAUAUCUGGAGGAACACCAGUGGCGAAGGCGGCCUCCUGGACCAUUCCUGACACUCAGACGCGAAAGCUAGGGUAACAAACG
rnacentral:rRNA from 1 species